rnacentral:snoRNA from 1 species
GGCUGGCACUGGCCCAAAAGGCUGCCACAGAGACACUGUAACUCAUGGGCCCUGUUCCUCUCUGCUGAGCCUCAGGGAUAAAUUUUGUUACAGACAUUG